rnacentral:tRNA from 1 species
UGUGGCUCAGUGGUACAGUACAUACUUAGCAUGUAUGAGGCCCUGGGUUUGAUCCCCAGCA